AAGACUAUACUUUCAGGGAUCGUUUAUAUGGUUUGCGGCUAAAGAAGUUUGUCAGCGUGAGGAGCCACAGAAAGCACAAGGAGGAUGUGCAGCUUUCUCUGUGGCGUGUGAAGCCAGAUCUAGGUGUUACUUCACUACAACUACAUUUGCCAUUGAUGAUCGUUCUUUUCUGAUCUCAGAGAGAAUAGAAGGGAGAGAAGAUGCAGUCUGAUUGAU
rnacentral:snoRNA from 1 species